rnacentral:tRNA from 1 species
CGGAAAGAGAGGGAUUCGAACCCUCGGUACAAAUAACUCGUACAACGGAUUAGCAAUCCGCCGCUUUAGUCCACUCAGCCAUCUCUCCCAAUUGAAAAAAAAAGAUAAUUACUAUGUUACAUUACGCGUAAAGUAAGGAUUAAAAAAGUCUUUCUCUCUCUUUAUCUUUAUAUAGAAUAUAGAUAUGUACAACUUUUAUCAGCAAUUCCAUUUAGAUAAAGUAAGGACUGGAAAGAUCCAAUAUAAAGAAAAAUCAAAAUAAAGAAGACUUAUUUGCUUUGAUUUUAUUCGAAAGAUCCUUUUUUUAUUCC